UACGUAUGGUGCAAACGUUGUUCGGAAUCACUGGGCAUAAAGAGCACGUAGGCGGUUUGGUCAGUCUGGUUGUGAAAUCCCUCGGCUCAACCGAGGAACUGCGCCGGAAACUUCCGAACUAGAGUGCAGAAGGGGAGAGCGGAAUUCCUGGUGGAGCGGUGAAAUGCGUAGAUAUCAGGAGGAACGCCGGUGGCGAAAGCGGCUCUCUGGUCUGUAACUGACGCUGAGGUGCGAAAGCCAGGGGAGCAAACGGG
rnacentral:misc_RNA from 1 species